GUAGGGAAUAUUGGACAAUGGGCGAAAGCCUGAUCCAGCAACGCCGCGUGGAUGACGAAGCAUCUUGGUGUGUAAAAUCCUGUCAGUGGGGACGAAACGUAGAGGUAGGAAAUGACCUCUGCUUGACUGUACCCGCAGAGGAAGUUCCGGCCAACUCCGUGCCAGCAGCCGCGGUAAUACGGGGGGAACGAGCGUUGUUCGGAUUUACUGGGCGUAAAGGGCACGCAGGUGGGAAAAUAAGUCAGAUGUGAAACCCCAAAGCUUAACUCUGGGACUGCAUUUGAUACUGUUUUUCUUGAGUACGAGAGAGGAUGGCAGAAUUCUUGGUGUAGCGGUGAAAUGCGUAGAUAUCAAGAAGAAUACCGGUGGCGAAGGCGGCCAUCUGGCUCGAUACUGACGCUCAGGUGCGAAGGUCGGGGGAGCAAACAGGAUUAGAUACCCGGGUAGUCC
rnacentral:rRNA from 1 species